rnacentral:misc_RNA from 1 species
AAAACAGGAAGAGAUUCUCAAGAAGCACUCGCUCCUCUUGUGGAGGUUGCUCUCAAACUUUCUAAGAUGCAAGAAUUCACAGGCCGAUCUGCCCCAACUGUUAUUACAUAGAUGCUCAAUGGUACAUACAAAAGUUGAGAUCUAAUGCCCUUUUGAACUUGAAAAAGUGUGGCUAUGAUAAGUUGUGCUGUGAUAUUAAGAAACGUUUUAAGGAACUUUUUU